rnacentral:rRNA from 1 species
GGGUUGUGAGGUUAAGCGACUAAGCGUACACGGUGGAUGCCCUGGCAGUCAGAGGCGAUGAAGGGCGUGCUAAUCUGCGAUAAGCGCCGGUAAGGUGAUAUGAACCGUUAUAACCGGCGAUACCCGAAUGGGGAAACCCAGUGUGACUCGUCACACUAUCAUUAACUGAAUCCAUAGGUUAAUGAGGCGAACCGGGGGAACUGAAACAUCUAAGUACCCCGAGGAAAAGAAAUCAACCGAGAUUCCCCCAGUAGCGGCGAGCGAACGGGGAGGAGCCCAGAGCCUGAAUCAGCAUGUGUGUUAGUGGAAGCGUCUGGAAAGGCGCGCGAUACAGGGUGACAGCCCCGUACACAAAAGCGCAUGUGCUGUGAGCUCGAUGAGUAGGGCGGGACACGUGAUAUCCUGUCUGAAUAUGGGGGGACCAUCCUCCAAGGCUAAAUACUCCUGACUGACCGAUAGUGAACCAGUACCGUGAGGGAAAGGCGAAAAGAACCCCGGCGAGGGGAGUGAAAAAGAACCUGAAACCGUGUACGUACAAGCAGUGGGAGCCCCACCACCAAAGCAUUCUCUGGUGUUGAAGGCCCUGCAAAGCAGCAUCGCGGUGGCGGAGCGUCGUUUGCGACGCCCAACACACAAAACAAGCGGUGAGUGCUUUGGGGUGGGGUGACUGCGUACCUUUUGUAUAAUGGGUCAGCGACUUAUAUUCUGUAGCAAGGUUAACCGAAUAGGGGAGCCGGAGGGAAACCGAGUCUUAAUUGGGCGUUAAGUUGCAGGGUAUAGACCCGAAACCCGGUGAUCUAGCCAUGGGCAGGUUGAAGGUUGGGUAACACUAACUGGAGGACCGAACCGACUAAUGUUGAAAAAUUAGCGGAUGACCUGUGGCUGGGGGUGAAAGGCCAAUCAAACCGGGAGAUAGCUGGUUCUCCCCGAAAGCUAUUUAGGUAGCGCCUCGUGAAUUCAUCUCCGGGGGUAGAGCACUGUUUCGGCUAGGGGGCCAUCCCGGCUUACCAACCCGAUGCAAACUGCGAAUACCGGAGAAUGUUAUCACGGGAGACACACGGCGGGUGCUAACGUCCGUCGUGAAGAGGGAAACAACCCAGACCGCCAGCUAAGGUCCCAAAGUCAUGGUUAAGUGGGAAACGAUGUGGGAAGGCCCAGACAGCCAGGAUGUUGGCUUAGAAGCAGCCAUCAUUUAAAGAAAGCGUAAUAGCUCACUGGUCGAGUCGGCCUGCGCGGAAGAUGUAACGGGGCUAAACCAUGCACCGAAGCUGCGGCAGCGACGCUGAUGCGUUGUUGGGUAGGGGAGCGUUCUGUAAGCCUGCGAAGGUGGCCUGUGAGGGUUGCUGGAGGUAUCAGAAGUGCGAAUGCUGACAUAAGUAACGAUAAAGCGGGUGAAAAGCCCGCUCGCCGGAAGACCAAGGGUUCCUGUCCAACGUUAAUCGGGGCAGGGUGAGUCGACCCCUAAGGCGAGGCCGAAAGGCGUAGUCGAUGGGAAACGGGUUAAUAUUCCCGUACUUGGUGUUACUGCGAAGGGGGGACGGAGAAGGCUAUGUUGGCCGGGCGACGGUUGUCCCGGUUUAAGCGUGUAGGCUGGUUUUCCAGGCAAAUCCGGAAAAUCAAGGCUGAGGCGUGAUGACGAGGCACUACGGUGCUGAAGCAACAAAUGCCCUGCUUCCAGGAAAAGCCUCUAAGCAUCAGGUAACAUCAAAUCGUACCCCAAACCGACACAGGUGGUCAGGUAGAGAAUACCAAGGCGCUUGAGAGAACUCGGGUGAAGGAACUAGGCAAAAUGGUGCCGUAACUUCGGGAGAAGGCACGCUGACACGUAGGUGAAGUGAUUUACUCAUGGAGCUGAAGUCAGUCGAAGAUACCAGCUGGCUGCAACUGUUUAUUAAAAACACAGCACUGUGCAAACACGAAAGUGGACGUAUACGGUGUGACGCCUGCCCGGUGCCGGAAGGUUAAUUGAUGGGGUCAGCGCAAGCGAAGCUCCUGAUCGAAGCCCCGGUAAACGGCGGCCGUAACUAUAACGGUCCUAAGGUAGCGAAAUUCCUUGUCGGGUAAGUUCCGACCUGCACGAAUGGCGUAAUGAUGGCCAGGCUGUCUCCACCCGAGACUCAGUGAAAUUGAACUCGCUGUGAAGAUGCAGUGUACCCGCGGCAAGACGGAAAGACCCCGUGAACCUUUACUAUAGCUUGACACUGAACAUUGAGCCUUGAUGUGUAGGAUAGGUGGGAGGCUUUGAAGCGUGGACGCCAGUCUGCGUGGAGCCGACCUUGAAAUACCACCCUUUAAUGUUUGAUGUUCUAACGUGGACCCGUAAUCCGGGUUGCGGACAGUGUCUGGUGGGUAGUUUGACUGGGGCGGUCUCCUCCUAAAGAGUAACGGAGGAGCACGAAGGUUGGCUAAUCCUGGUCGGACAUCAGGAGGUUAGUGCAAUGGCAUAAGCCAGCUUGACUGCGAGCGUGACGGCGCGAGCAGGUGCGAAAGCAGGUCAUAGUGAUCCGGUGGUUCUGAAUGGAAGGGCCAUCGCUCAACGGAUAAAAGGUACUCCGGGGAUAACAGGCUGAUACCGCCCAAGAGUUCAUAUCGACGGCGGUGUUUGGCACCUCGAUGUCGGCUCAUCACAUCCUGGGGCUGAAGUAGGUCCCAAGGGUAUGGCUGUUCGCCAUUUAAAGUGGUACGCGAGCUGGGUUUAGAACGUCGUGAGACAGUUCGGUCCCUAUCUGCCGUGGGCGCUGGAGAACUGAGGGGGGCUGCUCCUAGUACGAGAGGACCGGAGUGGACGCAUCACUGGUGUUCGGGUUGUCAUGCCAAUGGCACUGCCCGGUAGCUAAAUGCGGAAGAGAUAAGUGCUGAAAGCAUCUAAGCACGAAACUUGCCCCGAGAUGAGUUCUCCCUGAGACUUAGAGUCUCCUGAAGGAACGUUGAAGACGACGACGUUGAUAGGCCGGGUGUGUAAGCGCAGCGAUGCGUUGAGCUAACCGGUACUAAUGAACCGUGAGGCUUAACCUUACAACGCCGAAG